rnacentral:rRNA from 1 species
CCUACGGGAGGCAGCAGUGGGGAAUAUUGGACAAUGGGCGCAAGCCUGAUCCAGCAAUGCCGCGUGGAUGAAGAAGGUCUUCGGAUUGUAAAGUCCUUUCGGCGGGGACGAUGAUGACGGUACCCGCAGAAGAAGCCCCGGCUAACUUCGUGCCAGCAGCCGCGGUAAUACGAAGGGGGCUAGCGUUGCUCGGAAUGACUGGGCGUAAAGGGCGCGUAGGCGGUUUGGUCAGUUAGACGUGAAAUUCCUGGGCUCAACCUGGGGACUGCGUUUAAGACGGCCAGGCUUGAGUGUGAAAGAGGGUCGUGGAAUUCCCAGUGUAGAGGUGAAAUUCGUAGAUAUUGGGAAGAACACCGGUGGCGAAGGCGGCGACUUGGUUCAUUACUGACGCUGAGGCGCGAAAGCGUGGGGAGCAAACAGGAUUAGAUACCCUGGUAGUCCACGCCGUAAACGAUGUGUGCUGGAUGUUGGUGUACUAGUCACUCAGUGUCGUAGCUACGCGAUAAGCACACCGCCGUGGGUAGGUACGGCCGGCGAGGUAGAACGUACGAAAGGAAGUUAGACGGUCGUGAGACGUUGUCCGAACGGACGACGACGAGGGGAGGUAGG